AUCCAGCUGCUGCCAGCCACACGUCAUCUGCCUGCGCUGCUUGGCACCCAUGUCCCCCGCCUCCCGGCUGGAUGAGAGGGAGCAAGCCCUGUCGGGGCUCAUGAGCAGUGUCCUUGCCCCAUUGUCCUCCACCCCCAGACAGUGGUGGGCACCGGUGAUGGGUGUCUCCUGUCCACAGGAGGUUGCAUCCUCCUCACCUCCUCCUCUCAGCUGUCCGGUGGGACUUCGGAGCAAGACAGCCCACGCCUUCCCAGCCUCUGCCCUGCACUCACUGGACAGGCGCCCAGGGUAGGCUGCAGCACCGCAAGGGAGGUCUCCAACCGCAGAUGAGCUCCUCCACCAGGCUCCUUCCCUCAUGAGGGGCUCCCUCCCCUCACUUCCAGGCACUGGGCCAAGGCCACCCCUUUGCCUCCUUCCCUACUCUCUGCUCCCCCAGUCUUGGCACAGCCCCCACGCCCCGUGGCCUCCAUCCUGGCCUCCGUGUUCCUCCACUGUGCUGCCUGACCUGACCGCCUGAGAGACGCAGUUCCGACCCCCACUCUGAGGCCACUGAGUGUGGGGCCCCUGGGCUCAGUCUGCAAGGCCUGAGUCAAACCCACCUCCACUGCUUUCAGCUGGGGGCUUGAGGCAAGUUCCUCCCGGCCUGGGCUUCAGGCUCAUCAUCUGUAGAAGAUAAUAAUGGACCCACCUUGUAAGAUGGGGGAGCGGCUGCUGCCCACCGGACCCAGGCCAGAGCCCCCUGUGGCUCUGCUGUCCUACUUCUGCCGAGCACAGCCUCCUGGCCAAGUGGCGGAGCGGCAGGGACCACGGGGCUGCCAGAGGUGGUGGUGUCACCCUGAGAACUCAGCUCAGUCCAGUGCUUCUCCAUCCCAGCAGACGAGGGUCCAAAGACCCAUCCUUCCGUCUCUUCUGCGGCGAGCUGUGCUCCCCAGGAAGUGAGCUACAACCUUCCAGGGACAGCGGGGGCUCCAUCCCAACCAGGACCCGCCAGGUCCUUCCUCAGCACGUGACACGCCUGGACCAGCUCCGCCCCUCCAGGGGCCCUGCCCUCACCGCACCACACCCGGCUUCCCUGGGAUUCAUUCAAGAGGCGCUGUGGAGACCACUCAGUCCGGACCCCUCAUUUUGCAAAUGGCAAAACAAGGAGCCAAAGGGGUGGGCAGUGACCAGCCCAACCCCCCAGGACCGCAGGGAGCAGAGGCUCCAAUCAAGUCUGGAGGGCACGCCGGCCACUGCCCCAGCUCCAAGUCCCUUUCUCUCCCGGUGGCCCGGGUACUUCGGUGUCCCCCAGGGAGGGCGCGUCCUCCUGCUGCCUGCACCUGAGGCCUCCUGGCCUCGCUAGAGUGGCCUCAUGCUGCCAAUGGCUGCACGAAGUUCUGCGUUCACAGCCGUGAGUACCAGCCUGGUGUUAAGGAGCCUGUUUAGAAAGAUGACCUAUUUUUAGCUGAGUCUUCUGCCGGUUGCUAAAUAUCUGUUCAAAUACAUGAAUUAACACAUCUGUCAACAGCACUUAGAGCGGGAAUCAGACACACUCAUGGUGGAAGGUGAUUUAAAACAAACACAUGCGGCAGGAUGAAACCUGAGGGGCGGCUCUUGUUCUUGGCUCCUGGGGGGGCUAUGCCGAUGGCAACCCCCUAACAGGGCGACCACAGUCAGGCACGUGGAGCCCCCUCGACUGCCUCCUCCAGACAGGAUGAAACGGUGCCCGAGAGAAAACCAGGGGGAAUUCAGGAAGUGACAGCCCCUCAGGGCAUCCGAGUGAGGAGCGGGAAGAGCCACCACCACCCCUCUAUAGCAGCUUCUCAGCAUCACCCCCGUCUGUGGCCACAGCUGAAUGAAGGCAACCUGGUGUUUCCCAUCGGCUGUCAGGAGCCGUGCUGGGUGCGCAGCAGGAAUAUUAAUUACACCCCACUGUGAGCCUCAGACCCAGGCUGGCAGGACACGAAAGGACGUCUCAGAGCCCCUUCUCCUGGGACCCUGAGAAGAGCCUGCCGAGGGCCCAAGGGACAAGGAGAGACCUCGGGGAGCGCCCUGCCAUCCUCCCCUGGCUGGCCCAGCCGCCUGAGCUGCCACCCAGUGAUGGCAGCGCUGCUGACCUCUCCACCAUGACCCCCGGGACGCUCAGCUCCGCACUGGGCCGCCCCACAUUCCAGCUUCCUGAAAGUACAAACCCUCCCUGAUGAGCUUGUGUCCUGCCCUAGGAUGGGAAUGCGUGUGAGGACUGAUGUGGCAGGCAUCGGAAAACCUGCAUUUUCAGCCCAGCCCGGCCACUUCCUUGUCAUGUGACACUGAGAAAGGCACACAUCUUGCUGUGCUUCAGUUUCCUCAUGGCUCCUGCAAGUGUAGUACAGCAGCUCUGCCCCCUCACCCCUGCCACAUUGACCAGCAGCACGUGGGAUCCACCCAAGGUCACAGAGUGGGCCUAGUGGUCACAUUGUGAUCUUCCCCUACUCCGAGCGGACACCAAGAAGCCCACUCGCCCCACCCCCUCUUCUGCCUCAAUUUCCCUCAAUGGAUAAUGAGGCCACAUGAUGGUGUGAAGUUGUGAGGGAAACACCUGAGUCCUGGUGAGAGGGGAAAAACCCAGAAAAUGAAAUGGAGAUGUUCCUGCUCUUCACGCCAAACGAGAACCCUGGUUCCGGAGUUCCCUGGGCCAGGACAAGACCAGUGAGUGGGCAGAGCAACCUUGGCUCACCCAGCUGCUCCCUGCUGGCUCUGUCAGGAGCUCAGGGGGCUGCCCACAAGUCCCUUGAGAUGGAGCAUCCCCAGGGCCAUCUCCAGGGCUCAGAACCCAGGGCCAGCUUCUGUAGUUCCCAAGGACUUUUCGGUUUGUGGCUCCCAGCUCCCCUUGAUUCCUCCCUGGACAGAAAGUCACAGCCCAGUGAGUCUCCCUUUGCUGUCCUCAUGACCUCAGUGUCUUCCAGACCCAGACCCUCCAUGCUCUGGAGUUGGUUCCCUUUGUCCAGGUGCCGGCCAGGAAGGGAGUCAGUAGGUCAGUGGGGAAGGGGCUUAGCUGUGGACAUACCACCCCAGAGUGAAGAGGGAGGGUUGCCAACUCUAGGUCACGUCUCUGAGCCCACGGGUCAAUGCAGACUCCGUGGACCCCAGGUGGGAGGCCACCUGGCCCUCCCCAGCACCUGUCCAUUCUCUCUCCGUGUCUCCAAAGAGGACAACGGGGAUGUUCACAGACUCCUGCUAAUGAAAGUAAGGAGGAAAGCUGCAGAAAUCUAGGAAAGCAAGAGGUAAGAAGAUGCAUCCUCUUUGGAGUCCCCGGAAUGGCAGGGCAGCCAUCACUCUGCCUCAGGCAGCUGGUGACUCAGCGCUCAAGGCCCAGCAGAAGCCGGCCUGUCCUAAAAAGUUACCCCACAGCCAUCAUCCAAACACGUCACUCACAGGAGGAGCAGCCAGCCACUUGGUCUCACGGUGGGAAGUCCACAGCGGGAUUCUGAAAAAUACCCCCUAACCAGAAAUGUAAACAGGGAGUUCGUCCGGGGGAAGAGCGCCAGGACUGAUUGAUAUCAUUCGGCAAUUUUGCAAGAAAAUGGGAGCAAGUUCCUGUUAUAAAUGAGUCCCUGAUGGUGAAAUCACUUGAUUCGAGUGACUGAACUGUGACCUUUACUCAAGAAAUAAAAAAGCCAACAAGAGGAAGUAUACGCUUUAUUCUUUGGUAAACUUGGAAAGCACAGAUGCAAUAUUUCUGCUUGUCUUCUGCUUGCUAAGAUUAAAAGCAACUGGUAAAUUCAGGGAACGGAAGGUGGAUCAAUAUUCCCCAGCUCCUCCCCAAGGUUUGGGGAUGAUAAUCUCGAUUACUAUCUCCAGCUAAUGGGACGGAAGCAGAAGCGAUCGUGAGGCCAGCAGGGGCCUGUGGGAAGGCACUUUCGGCCCUUUGAAAAAUUACCUACUGUUAUUUCUGCAGAUGAGAAGUAGUUUCCAAAACUACAAAGACAUGUAGUUAUUAAUGCCAAUAUCCAUGACGUUGAGGAAAAUAAUCCUAGCUGUGGACACCUUUGAGAAUCCAAAGAUGAUAACAUUCCCAGAGAAAAUCCACGUGCAAUUUUAUCAUCUAGAAAAUAGGGAUGGUGUAACGCAAUGAGACUGUCUGCAGACAUCCCAAGUCUUGCGGAUCUAUGUGACAAUGAAAACAGGAAGCACUUGCUUCCGUGAGUUUGCAGCAUGGACCGUGCCUGAAUGAAUGAGGUACAUCCCAGCACUUGGCACUCAAGAGAGGCUGGC